UUUCUCUCUAUAGAUGAAUGACCAGGAAAGGGGCAGCCUAGCAAGAUAGAAAUGUUUAGAUAAUAACUGCUCAACUCCAACCAAAUGC